AUGGCAGUGAGUAAAUGCGAAUUUCAGAGCAUACUAGGGAUUGACAUAUCUGAAAUAAUACCAUCUUGUAGCCCAAUAUCUGCGAAUUUUCUAAAGCAAUGCUUCGUGUCAUCUGCAUUUACUUUAUUCCCCCAGUUCCACUUCCACCCCUUCCAGAGCGCCGCGCAUUGGGCGGCUGUUGGAGAUGCUCUGAAGAAGCUUUUCAUGAUGCUCACCUGCGUCCUUGCAUGCACUGUUGUCCUUCAUUCUCCGGUUGCAGAGCACGCCACAGUUGCUUUACCGGCUGUCGAUGAAGUGCUGUUCACGCUGGCCACCACCGUUCAUGUCCAUCAGCUACUAGCUAGCAGACCUAAAUGCAGUCCAGCUCCUGCCCAAGCAAGCAAGCACCAAACCAAAGCAGCGCGCCGGAGGGGAGUCGGGGAGGAGCAGGGGGGAGUCAGGUCCAUGGACCUGCCAGCGAAACGGGGCUGGCUUCCGCCGCUCAGAUCGACGGGUCCCGCGCUGGAGGCAGGGGGCGGAGCGGUAGAGGAGCCGGGGCCUCGGAGCAGGAGGCCGACCCUCGGGGCUCUGCUUCAAGCCAGGGUUUCAAUCGACCUCGGAAUCCACAAGCUCGAUAUCGAUGGAGAUGAGGACAGAAUCAGCGCGCUCCCCGACGACGUCCUCCUAGAAAUCCUAGAGCGCCUCGACGACAUGCGCGAGGCGGUCCGCGCCGGCGCACUCUCCACGCGGUGGCGGCACCUCCCCCACCGGCUCUCGCACCUGGUCCUCGACAUCAUGCACUUCGGCUUAGACACUUCGACUUCGAGGGCCGACCUCGGGGGAAGUUCUUCGGCGGUCGAGGCCAUGCAGGCGUACACACGCGCGCUGUACAGGUCACUGUCUCCGUGUCCUCCUCCGGCUGGCUGCAAGCGCGCUAUCAAGACCCUCAUCCUACGUUUCUUACCUGUGACGGACCUGACCUCCAUAGGCCACGCCGUGGAGGACGUUGUCAGCCACGGUGAGACUGAGUUUCUUGGAUUUUACAUCUACUCGCCAGACCGUUAUGGUCGGGAGGGGAUCAUGUCCUUCUCCACCACCUGCCCAGUUGCCUGCCUUUCGGUGGCUCACCAAGCUUACUUGAUCGAUGUACCCAAACUUACAGAAGUGUGGUACCAAGAAUCUGAGGGCCACGGAAUCCCUCUGGUGCGGUUCGGCCACGUUCCGCAGCUUCGCCAUGUGUCCCUCCUUUGUCGUGCCACAGACUCUGGUAGGCGAUUGGCACUGAGCGAGUAUCUACCAGGGACUGCCAGGAAUUUUUCUGAGUUGCAUCUCCAUUUUGCCUGCCAAAUGAUCUGGAUUCAUAUGGAACAUCCGAAACAGCUCACUGCUACAUUCAGAAACCUGACCAAUGUGCGAAAAGUGGCUGCAGAGGCCGAGCUCCACUGA
rnacentral:rRNA from 1 species